GAGGGUAUAGCGCAGUGGUAGAGUGCAUGCCUAGCAUGCAUGAGGUCCUGGGUUCAAUUCCCAGCAUCUCCA
rnacentral:tRNA from 1 species